GGGCGGCCCCAUGGGAUGGCCCUAUAGGGAGCUCAGCCACAUAGGGACAGCUCAGCCCCAUAGGGAUGGGGCAGCCCCAUAGGACGGCCCCAUAGUGAGCUCAGCCCCAUAGGUGCUGCGGCCCCAUGGGACAGCCCUNNNNNNNNNNNNNNNNNUAGGGACGGCCCCAUAGGGACAGUGCGGCCCCAUAGGGAGCUCAGCCCCAUAGGGACGCUGCGGCCCCAUGGGACGGCCCUAUAGGGACAGUGCAGCCCCAUAGGGAGCUCAGCCCCAUAGGGACAGCCCUAUAGGGACAGCCAACCCCAUAAGGACAGCCAACCCCAUAGGGACAGCUCAGCCCCAAAGGGACGGGGCGGCCCCAUGGGACGGCCCUAUAGGGACAGUGCGGCCCCAUAGGGACAGUCCCAUGGGGACAGCUCAGCCCCAUAGGGAGCUCAGCCCCAUAGGGACAGCCCUAUAGGGACAGCCAACCCCAUAGGGAUGGCCCCAUAGGGAGCUC
rnacentral:lncRNA from 1 species